rnacentral:tRNA from 11 species
CACUCAGUAGCGGAGUGGAGAACGCGCUAGAGUUUUUAGCGAAAGGUACUGGGUUCGAGUCCCAGAGUGAA